rnacentral:rRNA from 1 species
CUGCUUUGCUGACGAGUGGCGGACGGGUGAGUAAUGUCUGGGAAACUGCCUGAUGGAGGGGGAUAACUACUGGAAACGGUAGCUAAUACCGCAUAACGUCGCAAGACCAAAGAGGGGGACCUUAGGGCCUCUUGCCAUCGGAUGUGCCCAGAUGGGAUUAGCUAGUAGGUGGGGUAACGGCUCACCUAGGCGACGAUCCCUAGCUGGUCUGAGAGGAUGACCAGCCACACUGGAACUGAGACACGGUCCAGACUCCUACGGGAGGCAGCAGUGGGGAAUAUUGCACAAUGGGCGCAAGCCUGAUGCAGCCAUGCCGCGUGUAUGAAGAAGGCCUUCGGGUUGUAAAGUACUUUCAGCGGGGAGGAAGGGAGUAAAGUUAAUACCUUUGCUCAUUGACGUUACCCGCAGAAGAAGCACCGGCUAACUCCGUGCCAGCAGCCGCGGUAAUACGGAGGGUGCAAGCGUUAAUCGGAAUUACUGGGCGUAAAGCGCACGCAGGCGGUUUGUUAAGUCAGAUGUGAAAUCCCCGGGCUCAACCUGGGAACUGCAUCUGAUACUGGCAAGCUUGAGUCUCGUAGAGGGGGGUAGAAUUCCAGGUGUAGCGGUGAAAUGCGUAGAGAUCUGGAGGAAUACCGGUGGCGAAGGCGGCCCCCUGGACGAAGACUGACGCUCAGGUGCGAAAGCGUGGGGAGCAAACAGGAUUAGAUACCCUGGUAGUCCACGCCGUAAACGAUGUCGACUUGGAGGUUGUGCCCUUGAGGCGUGGCUUCCGGAGCUAACGCGUUAAGUCGACCGCCUGGGGAGUACGGCCGCAAGGUUAAAACUCAAAUGAAUUGACGGGGGCCCGCACAAGCGGUGGAGCAUGUGGUUUAAUUCGAUGCAACGCGAAGAACCUUACCUGGUCUUGACAUCCACGGAAGUUUUCAGAGAUGAGAAUGUGCCUUCGGGAACCGUGAGACAGGUGCUGCAUGGCUGUCGUCAGCUCGUGUUGUGAAAUGUUGGGUUAAGUCCCGCAACGAGCGCAACCCUUAUCCUUUGUUGCCAGCGGUCCGGCCGGGAACUCAAAGGAGACUGCCAGUGAUAAACUGGAGGAAGGUGGGGAUGACGUCAAGUCAUCAUGGCCCUUACGACCAGGGCUACACACGUGCUACAAUGGCGCAUACAAAGAGAAGCGACCUCGCGAGAGCAAGCGGACCUCAUAAAGUGCGUCGUAGUCCGGAUUGGAGUCUGCAACUCGACUCCAUGAAGUCGGAAUCGCUAGUAAUCGUGGAUCAGAAUGCCACGGUGAAUACGUUCCCGGGCCUUGUACACACCGCCCGUCACACCAUGGGAGUGGGUUGCAAAAGAAGUAGGUAGCUUAACCUUCGGGAGGGCGCUUACCACUUUGUGAUUCAUGACUGGGGUGAAGUCGUAACAAGGUAACCGUAGGGGAACCUGCGGUUGGAUCACCUCCUUACCUUAAAGAAGC